GUAUAUAUUACGUUUCUCUUUAACCUUUCAGUUUCAUGUUCUCUCUCACACAUUCUUACGAGAACCUUUCAGAUCUAAAACAAAAAUCUAUGGUAAUCAAAUUGUCAAAAUAGUUCGUUUGAUUUUGUUAUUGCUUCGGAGCUUGGGUUAUUCAAUCAUGAUAUCGACCAGUUCCGGUUAAUGAAAGUUUUGUUUGAUUUGGCAAAAACAGGGGGAAAAUCUUGUGAUUAUCAAACUUGCUUAAGGAUUGAUGACUAUUAGUGGCCUGGAUACUGCUAAUCAAGUUGGAAAGAUUUCCAUUGCAAGGAAUAGAGAAUAUUGGUUUUGCAGUAGUAGAGAAGCUGAUCGGGAUAAAGUUCAUGUUUUCUUCCUUUCUACUUUUUUUUUCUUUUUUUCUGUAAACUAUGAUGCGAUCACAUUAUUACUUCCAAGUGAUGUGUCAUUUAUGCAUUUGAUGUAUAUUGUGUAAUUUAAAAUUUCUAUAUGAAAUAAAAUUAAUGCAUCAAAUGAGAAUUUCGUUUUAGUUA